UACGAAGGGGGCUAGCGUUGCUCGGAAUCACUGGGCGUAAAGCGCACGUAGGCGGCUUUCUAAGUCAGGGGUGAAAUCCUGGAGCUCAACUCCAGAACUGCCUUUGAUACUGGAGAGCUUGAGUCCGGAAGAGGUGAGUGGAACUCCGAGUGUAGCGGUGAAAUGCGUAGAUAUUGGGAGGAACACCAGUGGCGAAGGCGGCUCACUGGACUGGUACUGACGCUGAGGCGCGAAAGCGUGGGGAGCAAAGCAGGG
rnacentral:rRNA from 1 species